UGAACGCUGGCGGCGUGCCUACUACAUGCAAGUCGAGCGAACGGACGAGAAGCUUGCUUCUCUGAUGUUAGCGGCGGACGGGUGAGUAACACGUGGAUAACCUACCUAUAAGACUGGGAUAACUUCGGGAAACCGGAGCUAAUACCGGAUAAUAUUUUGAACCGCAUGGUUCAAAAGUGAAAGACGGUCUUGCUGUCACUUAUAGAUGGAUCCGCGCUGCAUUAGCUAGUUGGUAAGGUAACGGCUUACCAAGGCAACGAUGCAUAGUCGACCUGAGAGGGUGAUCGGCCACACUGGAACUGAGACACGGUCCAGACUCCUACGGGAGGCAGCAGUAGGGAAUCUUCCGCAAUGGGCGAAAGCCUGACGGAGCAACGCCGCGUGAGUGAUGAAGGUCUUCGGAUCGUAAAACUCUGUUAUUAGGGAAGAACAUAUGUGUAAGUAACUGUGCACAUCUUGACGGUACCUAAUCAGAAAGCCACGGCUAACUACGUG
rnacentral:rRNA from 1 species